rnacentral:lncRNA from 1 species
ACCAUGACACAUGGCAGUUGAUCUCUUCUUUUCGAUCGAAUUCAGCAUCAGCCAACUUGGGACUUUGAGGGUGCUAUCUUUCUUUUGUUUUUUUUUUCUUUUGAUUUCUUUUGAUUUCUUUUGAUUUUGAUUGAUUUCUUUUUUUUUUUUUGAUUUUGCACCCUCCUCUUUUUUUUCUUUUUUCUCUUUUUUUUGAUAAAUGCCCCAGUUGGCUGUUCUGCUGAUUCUCGAGAUGCAGCUGAGUGUGAUCUUCUUUUCUUGCUCAAGAAAUCGGGAAAUACCGUCAGGAAUCCCUUCAACAUCAUCUUCUUCCGCUUCGAAUACAGGGAAUUCAAAAUUGGGAGAUGACGUCCGAUCAUUAUGUUCAAUGGGUUUAAGAAACAACCUGCAUAAAGAUUUAGAGAUGAAAAGCUCUUUGAAAAUC